GACGAACGCUGGCGGCGUGCCUAAUACAUGCAAGUAGAACGCUGAAGGAGGAGCUUGCUUCUCUGGAUGAGUUGCGAACGGGUGAGUAACGCGUAGGUAACCUGCCUGGUAGCGGGGGAUAACUAUUGGAAACGAUAGCUAAUACCGCAUAAGAGUAGAUGUUGCAUGACAUUUGCUUAAAAGGUGCAAUUGCAUCACUACCAGAUGGACCUGCGUUGUAUUAGCUAGUUGGUGGGGUAACGGCUCACCAAGGCGACGAUACAUAGCCGACCUGAGAGGGGUGGCGGCCACCCGGGGACUGAGACAGGGCCAAGACCCCUACGGGAGGGAGGCGGAGGGAAUUUUCGGCAAUGGAGGGAAGUCUGACCGAGCAACCCCGGGGGAGUGAAGAAGGUUUUCGGAUGGUAAAGCUUUUUUGUAAGAGAAGAACGGGUGGGAGAGGGGAAAGUUCACACUGUGACGGUAUUUUCCCAAAAAGGGACGGCUAACUACGU
rnacentral:rRNA from 1 species